rnacentral:rRNA from 1 species
AAUUCAAAACUAUUCCCUCUCUCGCAUCGAUGAAGAACGUAGCGAAAUGCGAUACCUGGCGUGAAUUGCAGUGAACCAUCCAGUCUUUGAAUGCAAGUUGCGCCCCAAGCCAUUAGGCCGCAGACACGUCUACCUGGGUGUCA